UUUCCGUAGGUGAACCUGCGGAAGGAUCAUUACCGAGUGAGGGCCCUCUGGGUCCAACCUCCCACCCGUGUUUAUCGUACCUUGUUGCUUCGGCGGGCCCGCCUCACGGCCGCCGGGGGGCUUCUGCCCUCUGGCCCGCGCCCGCCGAAGACACCACUGAACGCUGUCUGAAGAUUGCAGUCUGAGCAAUUAGCUAAAUAAGUUAAAACUUUCAACAACGGAUCUCUUGGUUCCGGCAUCGAUGAAGAACGCAGCGAAAUGCGAUACGUAAUGUGAAUUGCAGAAUUCAGUGAAUCAUCGAGUCUUUGAACGCACAUUGCGCCCCCUGGUAUUCCGGGGGGCAUGCCUGUCCGAGCGUCAUUGCUGCCCUCAAGCACGGCUUGUGUGUUGGGCCUCCGUCCUCCUCCCGGGGGACGGGCCCGAAAGGCAGCGGCGGCACCGCGUCCGGUCCUCGAGCGUAUGGGGCUUCGUCACCCGCUCUUGUAGGCCCGGCCGGCGCUUGCCGACACAUCAAUCUUUUUUCCAGGUUGACCUCGGAUCAGGUAGGGAUACCCGCUGAACUUAAGCAUAUCAAUAAGCGG
rnacentral:rRNA from 1 species